UACGGAGGGGGCAAGCGUUGUUCGGAAUUACUGGGCGUAAAGGGCGCGUAGGCGGAACGUCAAGUUAGGGGUGAAAGGCCUGGGCUCAACCUGGGAACGGCCUCUAAAACUGACGAUCUUGAGUCCGGAAGAGGAUGGCGGAAUUCCCAGUGUAGAGGUGAAAUUCGUAGAUAUUGGGAAGAACACCGGUGGCGAAGGCGGCCAUCUGGUCCGGUACUGACGCUGAGGCGCGAAAGCGUGGGGAGCAAACAGG
rnacentral:misc_RNA from 1 species